GUGUGCGGGGCCAAGGGAGGGUCACGGGGGGUGAGCCCUGUUUUGAAUCCUGGUUCUGUUGGCUUCUAGCCACUUUGUGAUGGCUCUGAGCCUACUCUGUCUAUGAGAAUGACAGUGCGUUGGCAGACAACAAGAGGCGCUUUGUAAACACGUAUGCAGCACGUUUAGCAUAAUUGUUCACUCGUCUCUGUCCCAAUAUCUGAAGUCUUUGUGGGCCGGACUCUGCAGUGCACUAUUCCCGCUGUCUCUCGCUCAUGGUGGUCUGUCUCCUUGGAUGCACUGAGAUUUGGAUGGCAUAGAUCGUGAAGCUGCCACUCCAUUUCUGGCCUUGCAAGAUGAUCUGAUAGAGAACAGAGAAGGAGCUUUCCUCUCUUUGGCUUGGAAAUGGUUGGAUCCAAGGGACAGCCAUGGUCACACGGUUCCAGUGACUUCAGAAUGAAAGAUUUGCCAAGCUGGAAGAAUGUAAGCCUGGAGCUGCUGGGGAUGAGCCUGGUCACUGCAUGUUGAAAGAUGAAGCUAACACAGAAGAAACCAGAACUUCAAGAUAAAGAGGGACUUUUGCAAACUCUUGAUAAGUUUUCAGAUACAGAAAUCAAUGUACUUCUUUUUUUCUCUAUCUCUCUUAAGCUGUUAGAUUUAAGUUUCUGUCACUUGUAAGAGAGAAAAUCCUACCUCAUAUGCCCAGCUGAUCAGUGAACCAGAGCCUCAGUCUCAUGAUCCAUCCAUCCAUUCACACACGUACAUUUAAUAAGUAAGGCAGUUGCUCAAUGCAUUUUUUUGGAUGAAUUAACAAAUGAAUAAUUUGUCAUGAUGUGUUUGAUGACAAAGAUAACAUCCAGUUCCCUUUAAUCCUGGUGGAGAUUUGUCAACAAAGGGCAAACCUAGUUCUGAACUCAGAACUUGGAAAUCAGUCAGGAAGUCAGUCCCCCAGGGCAGUACUGACUUUCAUCAGUGUCUUCAGCAACACAGCCGGACAUGAUCUUUCCUUUGCUAAACAUGAUUUGGUCUGCCGAUGCCACACCCCACGUGGGAGGGCCCAGGAUGUCACUGACCAGCAUGUGGGUUUUCCUGCUGGAGCUGAUGCCAGCACUAUGAGCUCUGCAGUGACAAGAGUGUGAAUUGCCAGGGAGGACUUAUUUGCUUUGCCUGAUGGGACCUGUUUUGCUUGUUGUGCAUGGUGAUCACACCAAGGGCAGAACUGCCCAAGAAACCUCAGAGCUGGUGCCAACGCUCUUGGGAUGACUGUGAAAAGAACUUGAGUCAGAGGACAUAGAAGUAAACGGGUCACAGAUCUCAAAACUCCUGUUUUUCCAAGGAAAACUAACUCACAGAGAAGAAGGGGAGUGGCCAAGGGCACUAAGAGAAUAAAAAGAGACUAGCUCUGGA